GCACUUACGCGGAGCGGUAAUGUGAGGAAGCCUCCCGCCAAACAGAUGAGGGAGGAGGAGGAGGGGAGAGGCCAGAGAGAGAAGCGGCUUUCGGGAAGGAAAGUGUGAUCUAGUAGGUGGAAUAGUCCUCUCCAAACUUUGACCUGAGGUGUGACUAUUGAAUGACCCUCUAUUUGGAUUUGGAUUACACAAAGUUUAACGUUUUUUGGAAAAAUCCUACCUAGGUAAUGUGUAGUUCUCAAUGCAUCAUGUCAGGCAGCUUAUGAUGCCAAUUUGUCCCAUGGCCUUAAAUUCCACAACCUCAUCAUCUACCACCUUUGGUGCUUUCAGAAUCAUGACUCUCAAUGUUGAAGAAUGGGCUACUGCAUGGAAGGUGCUGAUCCUUUUAGAGGCAGCCGUGGAAGAGGAAAAGAGAUCAGAAGAGAAAAGGAUAUUGGUUUGCGGAACAUGUGGGACAAGAAGUUCCCAGAAGAAUUUCACACUGUUGGACUUCAUUUCUGAGCUUCUGGUAGUGAAGUGGUACCAUGUGAUUGAGUUCUGGCCAAUGGAAUAUGGUGGAAGAUUCCACGAAGGAACCGACGGCCCUAGAAGAUGGCAGAACUGUAGACAAAAGGCUGAAUCCCUGAAUGAUUGUAUGAAAGAGAGCACACCCCUCUUCCCCCUUAAUGGCAUUAGUCUGUGAUGUAAGGGAGGAACAGAUCUCAAUUACUCUAAGCCACUGAUAUCUUGAAGUUUGUCAAAGCAGCUAGCCUACCCUGCUAGCUGGGUACAAUACAGCAGGUGCUAAUAUUGCUUUGCAACUUAGGAUUUUUACAUCCUCUUUUCUCAAAAGAAAAUGAGAAAUCAACAUUUAGAGGACAUUUAUUGGAUGCCAGGCAAAUGGCCUAAGUCAUGGGGAAGCAAAAAUGAAGAAGAUAUCAUCCAUGCCCUCAAGGGACUUGAAGUGUGCCCAGAGAACUUGGAAUGUACUCUGGGAACAAACAACUGGGCAACUAAUUAUAAGACAAUGUGAUUGGUAGUUCUUAAAGAUGCAGAUGGAGGCCAGGCACAGUGGCUGACGCCUGUAAUUCCAGCACUUUGGGAAGCCAAGGUGGGCAGAUCAUCUGAGGUCAGGAGUUUGAGACCAGCCUAGCCAACAUGGUGAAACCCUGUCUCUACUGAAAAUACAAAAAAAUUAGCUGGGCGUGGUGGUGGGCACCUGUAAUCCCAGCUACUCAGGAAGCUGAGGCAGCAGAAUCACUUGAACCUGGGAGGCGGAGGUUGCAGU
rnacentral:lncRNA from 1 species